UGGGAUACAAGAGGUCGAAGUCCAACCAGUACCCGAACACUUCGUUGAUUCAGAUCGAAGGAGUGAACACAAAGGAGGAGGUGGCUUGGUACCUCGGCAAGAAGAUGGCGUACAUCUACAAGGCUAAGGUUAAGAAGAAUGGAUCUCAUUACCGCUGCAUUUGGGGAAAGGUUUGCCGGCCUCACGGUAACAGCGGCCUUGUCCGAGCCAAGAUGAAGUCCAACCUGCCCCCCAAGUCAAUGGUAAUACUAACUGUACUGAUGUUCCUUUAUUUAUUUUUCCUAUUUGGUUUGCUAUUUGUUUUUCUUAAAUGAAUGUUUCUGUAUUUUGAUAUUUCAGGGAUCAAGGGUUCGGGUCUUCAUGUACCCAAGCAAUAUUUAAGGUAUUCUUUAUCCGCUUUUUUGAAAAUUUUCCAAGGUUAUGUUUAUGGUUGCUUUUUGGUGAAAAUUUUGUUACCUAUACUUUUCAGUGAGAUGUUUCUUUUGCGAUAUCUGAAUUAGAGUUUAAUAAUUUGGGUCGUUUACAGGAUGCUCUAACUUGUAGAGUUUGGUAUUUUGAGUAACUUCCAAGGUUGGUCGAUAUUUGGAGUUGAUUUUUUGGGUUGGAGUCUGUAUAUAUAGAUAUGUGGUCGCAAUUUACUUUUGUUCCUCAUAUUGCUUUCAUGAGUGCUUUCCCUUUGACAAUGAUGUGUGCUUGUACUAAUUUUUGAAGCUUUCUUUGUUAGAAUGGUUGUAAGGAGGAGCUGGUCUUUGUGAAGAAUUUGCUUGAAGUUUUACACAUCCGUCUUUAUGCAAUACUAAAAUUUGUAGGCUUAUAGAGCUCAGCUUGAGUAGCGGAUGGUUUUACCAGAUUUCUUGUGUUGGAGUUGAGUUUUACCAGAUUUAUAGUUAUGGCUUAAAUUUUCAGACAUGCAUCAUUUUAGUGAAUGAUGAGGUAAUAUGGAGAAGUUUUUCAUGAGAACAGUUUGUGUGGUUACUGGUGAACAUGACCAAAAAAUGUGGGUGGAGGGAGAGCGAGCAAGAUGCGGAUCUUAAGACUAUACAGAGGAUGUCAAUCAUGCUUAAAAUUGUUUGUGUUGCACAAUUCAUCCAAAAUAUGGCUGUUAGAUAUGCAGAAUUGAUGGAGAUUUGUGUGCACAACAUGUGGGGGGUGAAAGGGACAGAUUUUGUUAAUUUUCAUGAGGGGACUUUGAUUUGUUAAGUAAUAUCCCCUCCACAUUUCAGGAAGCAUGUUAGAAAAGACGGCACUGUGGCUAGUUUCCAAGUAUUUUGAAACUUCCCCAGUGUAAGUUAUCCAAAGUUACUGCAGACACAGUUGAAAGCAAUUUUGUUGAUCGGCACAGAUUUAUCCUAAUUUAAUAUAAUGAGUUAGAUUAGCAUUCAAUAGCUUUAAGUUGACUUCUUUUUGGACACAGUUUGAUGUUCUGCUGUUGGGGCACUGAUGUGUAAUGUUUAGCUUGCGGCGGGUUUCUCAUAUGCAUGUAUGCUACAUUUUCCAUGUUUGACCUGUUCCAUCUGGCUAUGACUAGAAGCUACUCCUGAUUUUUGUGAUCAUUAUCGUUUCUACUGUUUCCAUUCUUAGUGUUGCCAUGAAUUAGGUUUUGUUAAAUUGGUAUGGAGUCGUUUUUGACUAUUUGCUUGGCUACUAGUCAUUUGUUUGGACAUUUACAGUUUUCUUAUGUUGUUGCAGUGUUCCAGCAAAAGUAGGAGCAGACUGCUUGAGGUCAUUGGUGGCUUUAGAAGGUCAUUGGUGAUUGAAGGACGGUAUUUAGAGUCAAAAUAUACCCCUUUUUUUGUGGACUUACCCUGGUCUCUGAAUUUAUCAUGUUUGUUUAAUACUAUGAAUUGAACUUGCAAUCUGAUGAGGCAAAUUUUGAUUGUUUGGAUUUAUCCUUUUUCACUUGGGUGUUUUUGAUCGUUAGUCAACCAGAAUUAUUGUUGAUUCGUCUCUUCAUGAUGUGACUGUGGGUAUUGUUUGAGGUUAGCUUCCUUCUGAUUUUCUCGAUAAUUUGCUGUCGAUCAAAUCAGUUGGGAACGUUCCUACCCGGUUCCUGUUUACAUCUGGGAUGCGAAUCUGUUAUCGAUAGCUCUUCUUCCUCGACUUUUUCCCAAGAAAAUAGUUGAACUGAAGAGACUCUAUAGUGAAUAAUAAGUGCGGCUUCUUAAUUCUUAUACUGGAAGGUAUGUCUGCGUCGGUAGGUGGUUUUUUUUUUUUUUGGCCCGCUUUCGAACUCUUUUACCUCUUUCUUUGGACAAUUUCUUAACAGGUUAAUUACCUUUACCUCCCUCAAAUUUUUUCUGUAUUUCAAUCAGCCCCUUAGGUGUGAUCAAAUUACAAAUUCAUCCCCCCAAGAUCAAAAUUUCAAACUAUCACACCCUUACCAUUUGUACUAUAACGUUGACCACAUAAUCAUGUUUCCACUAAAUGAGCAAAGAUUUAUCGUGAAAGUCCUAAAAUGUCCAUGUAAACCCGAAGUUCUUCUUUUCCUGUGUUUUCAUGCGCAAUUAAGUGGACCUUGGAGAUAAAAAUUAUGGAGGCGCCUCCAAGCCAAGUGCUUCGAUUUGGCAAUAAUACAACAAAAUUUCAAAGAAAUUUCACUAAAAUAGAUCACAAUUCUUCUAGGAAAUAAAGGAAAAUUAAGUUUAUCAAAAUUUGAGAAGCCCAAAGAAUUUGUUCCAAAAUUUUAUGAAAAUAUAAAGGGAAAAAAAAUAAAUGAUUUACAAAAUAAAGGACAAUAAGCUAUUAGUUCUUUGGAGCAAGUCUUAAACGGUACAUGCAAACUAGGGAAUAGGAUAAUCUCAAGGGAAAAAAAAGGAAAAGAGGAAUGAGGUUUAAUAGAUGAUUUUUGUAAUUUCACCGAAACAUGCAUACCCAAGCACUCAAAUUGCCGAUCUACCAUAAUCUUCAUCAUAUCCAUCUCAAACACCAUAAAAUCUUCAGAACAUUUAGGGUGAAUUAAAAAUAAAUUCUAACAGGCUUUCAAAUUUAUCCAAAAUUUAGUUUAUCGUGGUAUGAUUUCUCAAUAUUGUAUGCUUUUUUGGGUUUUGUGUAUUUCAAUGGAGGCUAGAAAAAGACGGGAGGGCAGAAGGUUAGCGGGUGUCUUGGUGAUUGGUGAAGCAUACUUUGCAAUCAGAUUUUGCAGCAUCCCAGACUACAAGGGGUAAGAUCGAGGGGCAUGAAGGUAGGAUCUUGAGAGCUUGGACAAUAUAUCAAGAAUUGUAGGGAUGGAAGAAUUCUUCAGUCUUUCUUUGUUCUUUCUUCCUCAUUGAUUUUUUUCUUCUAGCCCCUGCUUGUUUCUUUGAAGCAAAAUUCUCUGUCUUUGGUUUCUGGUAGCUCAUUUACUAAUUUCAUUUUUGGCAUGUUUUAGAUGACGGUAUUGUUGUACCUUUGUAACAUCCGUUAAUUGGGUUUAAACAGUGUCAUUUGUAUGGGGUGAUUGUUAUUUGAUUAAAACUCAAGGUUUAUUUUGUAGUUUGGCUGAACCUCCGAGGAGUUGUAUGUAAUUAACCCUUCCUUAACCUUAAUCUUUUCUAGUUACUAUUUCGUUUCCUUAAAAAUGAUGUUAAAAAUCAAACUGUCUGCAUUGGCAUCCAAGAAUGUGAGAAUAUGGGGUUAUUUUGAUGGGUAAAAACUCGAGUAAAUUUGGUUUUCAAAAAUUCAAUGAUUCAGACUGCGUCACUUUUCGAAUUAUUUGCAUUCGCAUCAAAGAAUAUGAGAAUGUGGGGUUAUUUUGAUGGGUAAAAGUUGGGAUGAAUUUGGUUUUCAAAUAUUCAAUGAUCAAGAUUGUGUCAUAUUACUUGGUAAGCGAGGUGACACAAUUUAGAUUAUUGAAUUUUUGAAAAUUACAAGUGAUUUAACAUAAUUUAGAUCAUUAAGGGCGUGUUUGGAUCCCUUGUUUUUAAGGCCGUUUUUGAAAAACUAUUUUUCACAUUUCAAAUGUUACAGUAAAUGUAUAUUUCCAAAACAAUUCCAAAAACAACAUAUCCAAACAUUAUAUCAAAAACAACUACAUAUCUAUAUUUCAAUUAUGUAUAUUAUAUAUAUAUAUAUAUAUAUAUUAUAUUAAUAUAAAUUGAAAUAUACAAAUUGAAAAUUAUAUAUAUAUUAUAUAUAAUAUAAAUAUUUAUAUAAAUUAAUAUUAUACAUAAUAUUGUAUAUUAUACAUAAUAUAAUAUAAUAUACAUAAUAUGUAAUAUUGUACACAUAAAUGUGUAAAUAUUUAUACAUAAUAUAUUAUGUACAUUAUAUUAUAAUAUAUACAUUAUUAAUGUAUAAUAUUAUUAUGUACAUUAUUGUGUAUAAUAAUGUUAUGUAUAAUAUAUAAUAUACAUAAUAUGUAAUAAUGUAUAUUAUGUAUAAUAUAUUAUAUUAUGUAUAGUAUACUAUAUAUAUACAAUAUUAUGUAUAUUAUACAAAUUGAAAUUUAUAUAUUAAAUAUUAUAUGCAUAUUUAUAUAAUGAAAUAUACAAUAAACAUUACAAAUUGAAAUAUUAUAUAAACACCAUAUUUAUAAUAUUAUAAUCUUUAUAAUUAAUAUUAAUGUAUAUUAUAUAUAUUAAAUAUUUAUAUAUUUAUUUAUACAUAUUAUAAAUAUUUUUAUAUAUUUAUAUGAGUAUUAUAUAUUAUAUAAAUUAUAUAUAAUAUAACAUAUAUUACAUAUUAUAUAUAUUAUACAUUUAUAUAAAUGUACAUUUAUACAUAAUAUAUAUAUUAAUGUAUAUUUAUAAUAUACAUUUAUAUUAUGUAUUAUAUAUAAUAUAAUACAUUUGUAAUACAUUUAUACAUUUAUAUUAAUAUACAUAAAAUUAAUUUUAUAUUUACAUAAUAUUAAUAUAUUUGUACAUUUAUAUUAAUUAUAUUAAUACAUUUAUACUUAAUAUUAAUAUAUAUUAAUAAAAUUAUAAUUUAUAUAUUUAUAUAAUAUUCAUUUAUAAUUUAUACAUUUAUAAUAAUAUAGACUUAUACGUUUAUAAAUAUAUUUAUAUUAUGUAUUAUAUAUAAUAUAAUACAUUUAUAUAUUUUUAUAUAAAUACAUAAAUAUAUUUAUUUAUAAAUAUUUAUAAAUGUAUUAUAAAUGCAUAAAUAUAUAUUUAUAUAAAAAUAUAAAAUUUAUAAUUUAUAAUUUAUAAUUUAUACAUAUAUAAUAUUCAUUUAUAAUUUAUACAUUUACAAUAAUAUGCACUUAUAUAUUUAUAAAUAUAUUUAUAUUAUUUAUUAUAUAUAAUAUAAUAAAUUUAUAAUAAAUUUAUAUAUUUUUAAAUAUAUUUAUUUAUAAAUAUUUAUAAAUGUAUUAUAAAUGCAUAAAUGUAUAUUUAUAUAAAAAUUAUAAAUUAUAAAUUUUAAUUUAUACAUUUAUAUAAUAUUCAUUUAUAAUUUAUACAUUUAUAAUAAUAUACACUUAUAUAUUUAUAACUAUAUUUAUAUUAUGUAUUAUAUAUAAUAUAAUACAUUUAUAUAUUUUUUAGAGAAUAUAUAAAUAUAUUCAUUUAUAAAUAUUUAUAAAUGUAGUAUAAAUGCAUAAAUGUAUAUAAAAAUUAAAAAUAUAAAUUAUAAAUUAUAAAAAUACCAAAAAAUAUGUUUUAAAAAUACCUCUAAAAAUAAUCCAUAAAACAUAUAUAGUAAAAGUUUUUCAUAUAGUUUUUGAAAAACAACUCCAAAAACAACUAAUCCAAACGGACUUGUAUUUAAAAAACAAAAUGCUACAGUGCUGUUUUUGAAAAACAACCCCAAAAACAGCUAAUCCAAACAGAGCCUAAAUUUUUUAAAAUUGGAUCUACUCAAGUGUAAGUAAUUUUAACAUGGAUCAAUCUUCUUCUUGUGGAACGACUUGCAGGGGUAUCUUGGUUCUUUAUUUUUUCUUCUUUUGGAUAACUGUCAAAUUUUACAUUUCCGACUUUUUUAUUGUGCUUAAUGUUGGCCUAAUCAGCAACAUCCCUCAGAUCCCGGCUCGAAGGGACUAACCGCCCAGCCCGUGGCACCCAGGGGUGCAGCCCCUCAUGCUGGCCGAGCGUGGUACGGUGCUUUGCGCUGCCAUUGUGGUUAAGGAAAUAAAGUUGCGCCUUCGCUAACAGCUAUAACUUUUGGUGCAAUGGUAAGCGCUUGAUCCUGACACUUAAGUUGUCCAUUUAUCCUUGGAUCAUUUUGCUUACGGAGCAUUGGCCGUCCCCAAGAAAAAGUCCAGCACCUCGAGAACUUGGAACAGCAAAAUCCCGAUGGGGCGUGCAGAAUGGUAGGCCUUUGAUGGAUGAAGGCCCGUCAUCCCCAACUAGGGCUGCAAACGAAUCGAGCCGCUCGCGAGCGGUUCGAGUCAGUCAAACUCGAGCUCGAACUCGAGCUAAGAAUAUUAAACUCGUUAGCUCGCGAGCCGGCUCGCGAAUUUGAGUAUAUAUAUAUAAAUAUAUAUAUUAUUUUUAUUUUUAUUUAAUGAGUAUAUAUAUAUAUUAUUUUUAUUUUUAUUUAAUAAUAAAAUUAUGUAUAUUACAUAUAUAUUUUUUAUUUUUUAUUUUUAUAGUAAAAUUACGUAUAUAUCCUUAAUAUUUUAUUAUUUAUUCAGAAAAAAAUAUUAUUUUAUUUAUUUUUUAAAAAAUAAAAUAUUUAUUUUUUAUUUUUUUCGAGCUCGACUCGAAUCACUUGAACUCGAGCUCGAAAAUUGCCGGCUCGUCGAGUUUGAGCUUGAUAAAAUUUAGUCGAGUCUCGGCUCAAUUAGCUCAAAACUCGACUCGACUCGACUCGUUUACAACCCUAUCCCCAGCACACCAAAAAAAGAAAAAAAAAAGAAAAGAAAAGAGCAACAAAUGAUUUGAAGAGAAAAGUGAGGUAAGGAAGCGCGUUAAAAGUGACAUUGUGAAAGAGGAAGCGUUACCAAUUUGUUUCGGGCCAGAUUUUAAUACCAGUAUGAGCCCUUUAUGUGUUACUCUGUUUAUCCCGUCGCGUUCUGAUGUUUGUUGGAGUAAAAUGAAAUUUGGUUCACAAAGAAUCAAGCAGCCACGACACAUUUUACUAUUUGAGCCGGUUGCUGUUACUUACACACAUUAUCAAAUACCAAAACCAAAAAAUAAAAAAGGAAAAAAAUGUGAUUUGAUAGUGAUUUUCUAUCAUAACCAUCCCCAUUUAUUUGAUUGAGUGACGUAUUUUUGAUUUUAUGUUUUAACUGGCUAGUUUUUCGAUUAAUUUUUGCAAAAAAAAAAAAAGACAUUUGGGAUUUUGCGCGAGGUCUCUUUCUUGCCAUAGGAGCUAAGCUAUACUAGGUAGGUUAUCUUUAUAUUUUUUAUAACAAUAUUAAUAUAACUAUUAUUAUUAUUAGUAGAGAAGAUGUGUGAUUUUAAAUUCUAGCCUCUGAACCUUAAUCACUUUGAAUCAAAAGGACAUCUGAAUCAUGACCUCUUAUCCUUAACCCCCUAGACCAAGGAGUUUGAACUCUAGUUUUGAUAUAAAUUUUUGUUUGUUGUACCCCUAUAUUUUACCUUGAAAAUUCAUUGGCAAAUUAUAUUGAUUUUGUUAUCUAACAAAGUUGCCUUUACACUUGCAACGAAGAACCAAAUUUAAUUCUCUCACUAGAAGUUUAAGGGCAUGUUGUUAUAAUAUAACCAUCAUAAAAAUUGUAACUAACAAAAUAAUUGUAAUUUGAUAGAAACAAAUUUUACAAGAUCAUAGUUUUGCCUCUUUUGUUAAAUCAAUUAUAAAAGGACAUUAUUUAUACGCAUAGUAGGUAAGCCCUUAACAAUAUUCCAAGUAAACUGAAAAAAAGGUGAAAGCGUCGUCUUGAAAUAAUGUUAAGCAUAAACAUGAUAGUUUACUAAGAAUCAACUGAUUAAAUUAACAUGAUUUGCUAAUGAAUGUAAUGUUGCUCACGUUUUAAAAAGAACAAACAGGGUUGCUGGUUGAUAUUUUCUUAUCAUUAAUAUUUAAUACCAAAUAUUUAGAAGCCUUUAUUCCUCAAAAUAAUAACAUCUGCAAUUAGGGGUGGGCACGGGUUGGAUACCCGUCCCUAACAUGAUUUGGCUAACCCGGCCUUAAUAUAUCGGAUCAGUCAUUUUGCGACUCUAACCUGCUCUUAAUGUUUUCGGGUACCCGAAUAGCAGGUAUCCCAAAAAAAGGGGACGGGUCAUAGGGUACCCGCCUCUAAAAAAAACUAUUUUCCAAUAAAAAAAUUUAUUUUUCACUUAAUAUCAACAUGUUUUUCAAUAAAGUUUAUAUAUCACCAUUCUCACACAUUUCAUCCAACAAUCAAAUCGAUCUAUAUAUCACUAACAUGAUUUGUUCUUUUUAAAACGUGAGAAACAUUACAAUCAUUAGCAAAAUUAUGUUAAUUUAAUUAGUUGUUUCUUAUUAAACUAUCAUGUUUGCACUUAACAUUAUUUCAAGAUGACGCUUUUACCUUUUUUCAGUUUACUUAGAAUAUUGUUAAGGGCUUACAUACUAUGCGUAUAAAUACCUUUUAUAAUUGAUUUAACAAAAGAGGCAAAACUAUGAUCUUGUAAAAUAACAUCUGCAAUAGCUAAUAAACAAUUUUUUAUUCCACAAAGCAUGUGAUUUUGAUAGUUUAGGAUUUUUUUUUUUGUCAAUCGUCAUUUCUACUCUUACUCUAUCAUAAUUUAUUUAUAUGGAAGGUUUAACUGGGCAUAUGAAGGACCGAUAGGAACAGAAUCGCCACCGGAUCGGAUGCUCUCAAUUUAAAGAAUCACAUGAUGUGGUAAUAAGUGGAAGUCAACUUCUAACCCUUGCCCAAUAUAAAUCGGAAAAUGAAAUGGCACCAGAAAACAAAUGAAUUUGGAAUGAAGACCUCUUGUACCCCUAUAUGGUAAGUUUCACCGCAACUCUUCUCGGACACCUCCAUAACUAGCUACAAGCAGCCCGAUCCCCCAGUCCCCGCCGCCCCUCACCACCCAUCAGAAAAUGGUUAAGGGAAGCCAAGGAGAGCGCGUCAGGUCAUCUAAUUUUCCGUCUCCCAUCUCCAUUUUCCCCUUAUUCCGUAAUUUCACUGAAUUUGAUUUUUCUCCCGAUUUUUUGGGUUUAACCCUGCAGGCUUUACGUGAGAGGAACUAUAUUGGGGUACAAGAGGUCGCAGUCCAACCAGUACCCGAACACUUCGUUGAUUCAGAUCGAAGGAGUGAACGCAAAGGAGGAGGUGGCUUGGUACCUCGGCAAGAAGAUGGCGUACAUCUACAAGGCUAAGGUUAAGAAGAAUGGGGGUUGGACUUGAACUUAGCUCGAACAACGCCGCCGUUACCGUGCUAAGUUCAAGUCGUGAGUAACAGCGGCGUGGUCCGAGCUAAGUUCAAGUCUGCCCCCCAAGUCAGUGAGCGGCGUCGUCCGAGCUAAGAGGUAAUAUUAACUGUACUGCUGUUCCUUUAUUUAUCAUUCCUAUUUGGUUUGCUAUUUCUUUUUCUUAAAUGAAUGUUUCUGUAUUCUGAUAUUUCAGGGAUCAAGGGUUCAGGUCUGUUAGAUUUAGUCAAUAUUAGCCAGUAAAUAAAAUCCCAUUGCAUUUGGGAUUCUUUGCUUUAGAAUAGGUCUUUCAGUUUAGGAGUUAGUUAGCAGGAGACUCCUUAUUUAUUGUAUUUUCUGUUUGUUUUGUACGGCUAUAUAUAGCCUAAAUAUUUCUCGUUCAAUCACAGAGAAUUCCUUCCACAUUUUUUCUUUCCUCUGCAAUACUCUUUCCUGUUAACCUUACAUCUGGUAUCAGAGCCUCGCAAGAGGCUCUAUACGUAGAAGCAGCAGUCUUCUAAGGGAGUGCAGGCCACGAAAAUGGCAACAGAGAGUGCCUUUAUUCAACCAGCAGUGCCGAGGUUCGAUGGUCACUACGAUCAUUGGGCAAUGCUCAUGGAAAAUUUUCUUCGAUCAAAGGAGUACUGGAAUGUGGUAGAAAAUGGAGUUUUUGCAGCAGCAAAGGGUGUGACUUUAACUGAGGCACAAAAGAAAAUUUGUGAAGAGCAGACGUUGAAGGAUCUCAAAGCUAACAACUAUCUGUUUCAGGCAUUAGAUCGUUCCAUUUUGGAGACUAUCGUCAACAAAGAUACGUCAAAGAGUAUCUGGGACUCUAUGAAGCAAAAAUAUCAAGGAACAACGCGAGUAAAACGUGCGCAUCUACAGGCAUUGCGAAAGGAGUAUGAAAUUGCUCACAUGAAGGAAGGAGAAUCUGUGAAUGAGUACAUUGCUCGUGUUCUUGUCAUCACCAACAAGAUGAAAGCCAAUGGCGAAGAAUUGAAAGAUGUUGCUGUUGUGGAAAAGAUUCUGAGGUCAACGACACCUAAGUUUAAUUAUGUCGUCUGUUCAAUUGAAGAAUCUAAUGAUACAAGUAUUUUGUCAAUUGAUGAGCUGCAAAGCAGUUUGCUCGUGCACGAACAACGCAUGAGCAACACUGUACAUGAAGAACAUGCACUGAAGGUGACCCAUGGAAACCAAUAUGCAGGACAAGGAAGAGGACGUGGGAGCUUUAGAGGCAGAGGCCGUGGAAGAAACAGACAAAGCUUUGACAAAGCAACUGUGGAGUGUUAUGCUUGUCACAAGCUUGGUCAUUUUCAGUGGGAAUGCAAGAAAGGAGUGGCCAAUUUUGCAGAGAGUCAAGUGGAGAGUGAAGAACACAUGCUGCUGAUGGCUUAUGUUGAAGAAAAGAAGCAACACAAAACAGACUUGUGGUUUCUUGACUCUGGGUGCAGCAAUCACAUGAGUGGAAAAAGAGAAUAUUUUUCCGAUUUUGAUGAAAAAUUCACAGAUUCAGUGAAGCUGGGAAAUAAUUCAAACAUGGUGGUCAAUGAGAAGGGCAACAUCAGGUUGGAGAUUGAUGGAGUUGUUAGCAUCAUCUCAGGAGUCUUUUAUGUUCCGGAAUUGAAGAAUAAUCUGCUGAGUCUAGGACAAUUGCAAGAGAAAGGACUGAGCAUUUUAUUCCAACAAGGGCAAUGCAAAAUAUAUCACCCUGACAAAGGUUUGAUCAUGAAAGCUAAUAUGUCUGCAAAUCGAAUGUUCAUCUUGCAUGCCAUCUCCUUGCCUAUAGCACCCACCUGUUUUAACAUAGUCACAGAAGAUGUAGCGCAGUUGUGGCAUUGCAGGUUUGGGCAUUUAAGCUUCAGAGGCUUAUAAAUCUUGCAGCAAAAACAAAUGGUGGAAGGUCUACCAUUACUCAAGCCACCCUCGAAGCUGUGCAAAGAUUGUCUUGUGGGGAAGCAACAUCGAGAUUCAUUUCCAAUGAAAAGUUCUUGGAGAGCAUCUCAGAUUCUGCAGCUAGUUCAUGCCGACAUUUGCGGACCAAUUAAGCCAGCCUCGAAUAGCAAGAAAAGGUACUUGAUUACUUUUAUUGAUGAUUUUAGUCGAAAAACAUGGGUGUAUUUUUUGACAGAAAAAUCAGAAGCUUUUAACAUCUUUAAGAGUUUCAAGAUACAUGUUGAGAAAGCAACAGAUAUGUCACUAAAAAUGUUGCGUACGGAUCGUGGUGGAGAGUUUACAUCUCGAGAAUUCAACAAUUUCUGCAAGGAACAUGGAGUGCAAAGAUAAUUGACAGCUGCAUAUUCACCACAACAAAAUGGCGUUGCAGAACGGAAGAAUCGGACUAUCAUGAAUUUGGUUCGUAGCAUGCUAUCUGGAAAGAAAGUGCCUAAAACUUUCUGGCCAGAAGCAGUAAAUUGGGCUGUGCACGUUUUAAAUCGUAGUCCAACGCUGGCUGUAAAAGACAAAACACCAGAAGAAGCCUGGAGCGGAAUCAUGUCGUCAGUUCAACAUUUCAGAAUUUUUGGUUGUCUCCUAUGCUCACGUGCCUGACAGCUCGAGAACUAAACUAGAUGAGAAAAGCUUGAAAUGUGUUUUACUGGGAGUUAGCGAGGAAUCAAAAGCGUACAGGCUCUACGAUCCUAUCUCACAAAGGAUUAUGGUGAGCAGAGAUGUAGUUUUUGAAGAAUGUGAAGAAUGGAAAUGAGAUAAGCAACAUGAAUUAGUCGUUACUUGGGAGCUGGAAUGGGAAGAUGAUGAAAAGGCAGUGACUGAAGAAUCUCUUAUAGAAGAAGAUGCUGCCAACACACGAUCAGAGGAGUCUCUUACCACUAAUCAAGAAACUCUUCCAGAUCCCGUGGAAGGGAGGAGUAGGAAGCAACCAACUUGGUUGAAAGACUAUGUUUCAGGUGAAGGUUUGUCUGAUGAAGAGGCAGCAUUUUUUGCCUCAUAUACAGCGGCUGCCGAUCCACUUAAUUAUGAAGAAGCAGUGAAGAAUGAAAAAUGGAGAAAUGCCAUGGAUGCCGAGAUUGCAGCCAUUGAGAAAAAUGGUACAUGGGAACUAAUCGAUCGACCAAAAGGAGUCAAAAUAGUUGGAGUCAAGUGGGUUUACAAAACGAAACUUAAUGAGAAGGGAGAAGUCGACAAGUUUAAAGCGAGGCUGGUUGUAAAAGGAUAUGCACAGCAAUAUGGUAUAGAUUACACAGAAGUGUUUGCUCCAGUGGCCCGUAUGGAGACUGUUCGAUUGGUGAUCGCUCUAGCAGCACAAAAAGGGUGGGCUAUCCAUCAAUUAGAUGUGAAGUCUGCCUUUUUACAUGGAGAACUAGUUGAAGAUGUUUUUGUUGAGCAACCGUGUGGUUACAUUCAAGAGGGAAAGGAGAAAAAGGUGUACAAGCUGAAGAAAGCUUUGUAUGGGCUUAAACAGGCUCCGCGUGCUUGGUACAGCCGUAUUGAAACAUAUUUCAUGAAGGAAGGUUUUCAAAAAUGUGAUUAUGAGCAUACCCUUUUUGUUAAACGAAACAUGGAGGGCAGCAUGCUUAUUGUAAGUAUAUAUGUUGACGAUCUUCUUUUCACAGGAAAUGAUGGUUUGAUGUUUACUGAGUUUAAGAACUCGAUGAAGAAUGAGUUUGAUAUGACUGAUCUUGGUAAAAUGAAAUAUUUCUUCGGUCUCGAAGUCUUGCAGAAAUCAGGUGGAAUUUUUAUAACUCAAAGAAAGUAUGCUCAGGAGGUGUUGCAACGUUUUGAAAUGAACCAAAGCAAUUCUGUUCAAACUCCAAUGGUUCCUGGUUUCAAGCUUUGCAAGGAUGAAGAAGGAAUUAAGGUGGACAAGACUCACUUCAAACAAUUGGUAGGCUGUCUUAUGUAUCUGACUGCGACUCGUCCAGAUGUGAUGUUUGCAGUAAGUCUUUUGAGCAAAUAUAUGGAGAAUCCUACUCAGCUUCAUUUACAACUAGCAAAGAGAGUGUUGAGAUAUUUGCAAGGAACAACUGAGUAUGGAAUUUUCUAUAAGAAGGGAGGAAAUGAUGAUUUUUUAGCAUACACUGAUAGUGAUUAUGCGGGUGACUUGGAUGAUAGAAGAAGUACAUCAGGCUAUGUUUUUCUCUUCGGUUCUGGUGCUGUAUCAUGAUCUUCUAAGAAACAACCUAUUGUGAGUCUGUCUACCACCGAAGCUGAAUUUAUUGCUGCUGCUGCUUGUGCUUGUCAAGCAAUUUGGUUAAAAAGAGUGCUCAAAACGCUGGAUCAGACUCAACAAGAGAAAAAUACUAUCCAUUGUGACAAUAGCUCUGCAAUCGAGCUCUCAAGAAACCCAGUUUUGCAUGGUCGUAGUAAGCAUAUAGAUGUUCGUUUCCAUUUCCUUCGAGAACUUGCACAGACAGGUAUGAUAGAGUUAGUUCAUUGCAAUACUUUGGAACAAAUAGCUGAUGUGAUGACAAAGCCUCUUAAGUUGGAUGUUUUUCUGAAGCUGCGUACUAUGCUUGGAGUUUGUGCAGAGAGCAGUAUAAACUAAAUUCGUUCAGCAUUUAGUUUAAGGGAGGAAUUGUUAGAUUUAGUCAAUAUUAGCCAGUAAAUAAAAUCCCAUUGCAUUUGGGAUUCUUUGCUUUAGAAUAGGUCUUUCGGUUUAGGAGUUAGUUAGCAAGAGACUCCUUAUUUAUUGUAUUUUCUGUUUGUUUUGUACGGCUAUAUAUAGCCUAAAUAUUUCUCGUUCAAUCACGGAGAAUUCCUUCCACCUUUUUUCUUUCCUCUGCAAUACUCUUUCCUGUUAACCUUAUAGGGUCUUCAUGUACCCAAUCAAUAUUUAAUGUAUUCUUUAUCCGCUUUUUUAAAAAUUUUCCAAGGUUAUGUUUAUGGUUGCUUUUUGGUGAAAAAUUUGUUACCUAUACUUUCAGUGAGAUGUUUCUUUUGCAAUAUCUGAAUUAGAGUUUAAUAAUUUGGGUCAUUUACGGGGAUGCUCUGACUUUCAGUGAGAUGUUUCUUUUGCAAUAUCUGAAUUAGAGUUUAAAUAUGAAAUUUUGACUCGCCACUUUUAAGAUCAACAAUUGAAUUAAUUGGUUUGUGAUUGUUUUAAAAUUUGAAAGUGUCAAUCGCUUACUUCUUUUGUCAUACUUUUCCUUCGUUUCUUUUUUCUGUUCAAAUUUAAUUCAAUAUAAACACUUGAUAAUAUUUAGAAUUAAAUGUUUUCUUUGUUUUCAAUUUUUGAAUAAAAGUAAAAUGAACAUGAGUAGAAAAUUAACAUUCUUUAAAACUCCUUUAUAUAUCUAUUUAAUUUUACUUGAAUAUUACAUUCAGACGAAAUCAAAUAAAGACAUAUUAUAUGCUAUUUAUAUUGUUCAUGUGAAAUUAAAUAGACAUAUAUACAUGAGUUACUUUUUAAAGUUAUUUGCAUAUAUGAUCAAUGAUGGAUAAAAAAAUUUAAUUUAUAAAAUAUGAGGGUCGAAACAAUUCAUUUUGUGAAAUGUGAAAUAUUAUCAAUCAGAUUAUGUAAAUUUUGAUUUGCUAAUUUUGUCCUUAAAAAUGAUCACGUGCAAAAGCACGUGGUGGAUUCCAAUAAAAAAACUAGAUGCAAAUUUAGGUAGAGAUGAAAUUUGACAAAUAUGAAUUUAUAAGGGACGUAAAAAUACACUUUUAAAAGUGAGAAAAAAAAAUUCAUUUUGCAAACAAUAAGGGGUGUUUUGAACGAUUUUUCCUAAAAAAAAAUAUAAAAUAUGCUAUGUUUUAUUGAUUUAUUUCUUUAAUUUACGGGUCUAUUAUUUCACAUGUUUUACAAGAAAUUUUCAUCAUCUGUAAUUAAAAAAAAAAUCAAAUCUCAAGCAACGUUUGGAUUAAUAAAAGGGUGCAAUUUUAAAGGAAAAGCAAAUAAAUCAAAGCAGAAAAAAAAUUGUCUAACCAUUUUGUUUGCGUUACUUAUACAAAAAAAAAAAAAGAAAAGAAACACCGAAUAUUCUGAAAAAGAAAGGAAAGAAUAGAUUAUGUAUAGUUGCAUUUUAGCUGUAACUGAAUAAAAUCUAAUUGUAAACAUACUUUAAUACUUUAUUUAUUUUUUGUGUAUUUUCACAUUCAUCUUGUUAUUGCUAUAAUAAAUUUAUGAAAUAAUAAUAUUUAGAUGAAAAUUUUAAUAUUUUUUUAAGAGAAAGAAAUUACAAGAAGUAUUAAAAUAUAAAAAAUUUUAAAAUGUUAACAAUCAUCGCUACGAAAUUUAGUAUUCAAGAUUUUCAAUUUUUUCAUGUUCAAAAUCAUGGUUAAUUUAGUACAAAUGACUAAAUUGUUUCUGUCCAUGUAAAUACGUAAUACUUCUUAAGUUGCAAGCAUAGUAAAGUUAUUUGAUCAUUCAUGAGACAAGUGUUGGGCCCAAAUGACUUACAGGGAAAACAAGUGCUAUUUUCAAAUAUUCCGGGGAGGGUAGCGAAAUUGAUAGAAAUCUAAAGGGGGCUUUCUGAAAUAAUACCUAUCAUCAACACAUAUAACCAUCAUUGACUCACCUAGGGUUUUAACGCAACUGUUCUGGGACUCCUCCAUCACCCAUUCCCCGCCGCCCCUCAUCACCCAUCAGAAAAUGGUUAAGGGACGCCAAGGAGAGCGCGUCAGGUCAUCUAAUUUUCCGACUCCAUCUCCAUUUUCCCCUUAUUCCGUAAUUUCACUGAAUUUGAUUUUUCUCCCGACUUUUUGGGUUUAACCCCUGCAGGCUUUACGUGAGAGGAACUAUAUUGGGGUACAAGAGGUCGCAGUCCAACCAGUACCCGAACACUUCGUUGAUUCAGAUCGAAGGAGUGAACGCAAAGGAGGAGGUGGCUUGGUACCUCGGCAAGAAGAUGGCGUACAUCUACAAGGCUAAGGUUAAGAAGAAUGGGUGCAGGUUGGACUUGAACUUAGCUCUGACGACGCCGCUGUUACGGUGAAGAAUGGGUGUAGGUUGGACUUGAACUUAGCCCUGAUAACGCCGCUGUUACCGUUAGGUAAGAGCGGCGUUGUCAGGGCUAGGUUCAAGUCUGCCCCCCAAGUCAGUGAGCGGCGUCGUCCGAGCUAAGAGGUAAUAUUAACUGUACUGCUGUUCCUUUAUUUAUCAUUCCUAUUUGGUUUGCUAUUUCUUUUUCUUAAAUGAAUGUUUCUGUAUCCUGAUAUUUCAGGGAUCAAGG
rnacentral:lncRNA from 1 species